rnacentral:rRNA from 1 species
ACGCUGGCGGCGUGCCUAAUACAUGCAAGUUGAACGCUUGGUUUUCACCGAAGCUUGCUUCACCGAAAUCAAGAGUAGCGAACGGGUGAGUAACGCGUGGGUAACCUACCUAUCAGCGGGGGAUAACUAUUGGAAACGAUAGCUAAUACCGCAUAACAAUGUUGGAUGCAUAUUCGACAUUUGAAAGUACCAACUGGUACACUGAGAGAUGGACCCGCGUUGUAUUAGCUAGUUGGUAGUGUAAUGGACUACCAAGGCGAUGAUACAUAGCCGACCUGAGAGGGUGAUCGGCCACAUUGGGACUGAGACACGGCCCAAACUCCUACGGGAGGCAGCAGUAGGGAAUCUUCGGCAAUGGACGAAAGUCUGACCGAGCAACGCCGCGUGAGUGAAGAAGGUUUUCGGAUCGUAAAACUCUGUUGUUAGAGAAGAACGUUGCAUAGAGUGGAAAAUUAUGCAAGUGACGGUAUCUAACCAGAAAGGGACGGCUAACUACGUG